rnacentral:lncRNA from 1 species
CUCCCCCCUCCGUCCUAAGACAAGAAGUGAAAUGAAAGUGUUUACUCUCCUAAUGUUUCAUAACGAACAUAAAACCCAAGAUGUUGUGGUUGAGGGUCUUUUGGAAUUAAGAGAGAAAACUGGAUGGCCUGUUGAUUAUUGUCCCCAAUGACCGAAUGACCACACGCAGAGCUCGCACACAAUCUGUAGCAGAAAUUCCAGGCACGGAAGCAAAACCUGGACUCAAAGGGCCUUAAAGUUAACCUAGCAAAUACCAAAAUUGUUGUUAGCAAGAAAGCAGGCACAAGGUCAUAAUUCUCAAGGAGUGGGCAUAAUUGAUUAUAUUUAGCCCCAGUACAAGACUGGUACUAUAUCUUAUCGACCCUGGAAGGAUAAACAGCAAAGAUGACCUUGGUGGGAUUGGAACUCAGAACAUAAAGGGACAUAACUAAAUACCACAAAGCGAUUUGCUCGAAGCUCUAGCGAUUCUGUCGAUGCAGUAAGUAUUUGCUUUUUAAAAAAAAAACUCUUUAACUCCAAAGA